GUAGGUGGCAAGCGUUGUCCGGAAUUAUUGGGCGUAAAGCGCGCGCAGGCGGUUCUUUAAGUCUGAUGUGAAAGCCCACGGCUCAACCGUGGAGGGUCAUUGGAAACUGGAGAACUUGAGUACAGAAGAGGAAAGCGGAAUUCCACGUGUAGCGGUGAAAUGCGUAGAGAUGUGGAGGAACACCAGUGGCGAUGGCGGCUUUCUGGUCUGUAACUGACGCUGAGGCGCGAAAGCGUGGGGAGCAAACAGGAUUAGAUACCCUGGUAGUCCACGCCGUAAACGAUGAGUGCUAAGUGUUAGGGGGGUUUUCCGCCCCCCUUAGUGCUGCAGCUAACGCAUUAAGCACUCCGCCUGGGAGUACGGCCGCAAGGCUG
rnacentral:rRNA from 1 species